UACGUAGGGUGCGAGCGUUAAUCGGAAUGACUGGGCGUAAAGGGUGCGCAGGCGGUUGGUCAAGACGGAUGUGAAAGCCCCGGGCUUAACCUGGGAGUGUCAUUCGUGACUGACGAACUAGAAUAUGGCAGAGGGAGGCGGAAUUCCACAUGUAGCAGUGAAAUGCGUAGAUAUCAGGAGGAACACCGGUGGUGUAAACGGACUUCUUGGACCAUAACUGACGCUGAGGCACGAAAGCGUGGGUAGCAAACAGG
rnacentral:rRNA from 1 species